rnacentral:rRNA from 1 species
UGGGGAAUCUUCCGCAAUGGGCGCAAGCCUGACGGAGCAACGCCGCGUGAGUGAAGAAGGUCUUCGGAUCGUAAAGCUCUGUUGAUGGGGACGAACGUGCCUAAUGCGAAUAGUAUUAGGUAAUGACGGUACCCAUCGAGGAAGCCACGGCUAACUACGUGCCAGCAGCCGCGGUAAUACGUAGGUGGCGAGCGUUGUCCGGAAUCAUUGGGCGUAAAGGGAGCGCAGGCGGGCAUGUAAGUCUUUCUUAAAAGUGCGGGGCUCAACCCCGUGAUGGGAAAGAAACUAUGUGUCUUGAGUACAGGAGAGGAGAGCGGAAUUCCCAGUGUAGCGGUGAAAUGCGUAGAUAUUGGGAGGAACACCAGUGGCGAAGGCGGCUUUCUGGACUGCAACUGACGCUGAGGCGCGAAAGCCAGGGGAGCGAACGGG